CGGCCGCGUCGACCGCUGCACCAAAAUGCGUAGAUAUAUGGAGGAACACCGGUGGCGAAAGCGGCUCUCUGGUCUGUAACUGACGCUGAGGCUCGAAAGCGUGGGGAGCGAACAGGAUUAGAUACCCUGGUAGUCCACGCCGUAAACGAUGAGUGCUAGGUGUUGGAUCCUUUCCGGGAUUCAGUGCCGCAGCUAACGCAUUAAGCACUCCGCCUGGGAGGUACGACCGCAGUAGUAACUACAAGAAGUAUCGGGGACCCGGACGUGUGGGAGGGCGAGACGCACAGGGAGGUAGUG
rnacentral:rRNA from 1 species